rnacentral:rRNA from 1 species
AACGAACGCUGGCGGCAGGCCUAACACAUGCAAGUCGAGCGCUCACCUUCGGGUGGGAGCGGCGCACGGGUGAGUAACACGUGGGAACCUACCUUGAAGUACGGAAUAACUGAGGGAAACUUCAGCUAAUACCGUAUACGCCCUACGGGGGAAAGAUUUAUCGCUUCAAGACGGGCCCGCGUUGGAUUAGCUAGUUGGUGAGGUAAUGGCUCACCAAGGCAACGAUCCAUAGCUGAUUUGAGAGAAUGAUCAGCCACACUGGGACUGAGACACGGCCCAGACUCCUACGGGAGGCAGCAGUGGGGAAUAUUGGACAAUGGGCGCAAGCCUGAUCCAGCCAUGCCGCGUGAGUGAUGAAGGCCUUCGGGUUGUAAAGCUCUUUCAGAUGGGACGAUGAUGACGGUACCAUCAGAAGAAGCCCCGGCUAACUUCGCGCCAGCCGCCGCGGUAACAC